GAAGACCGUAGCAAAUUGCGAUAAGUGGUGUGAUAUGCGAGUCCAAAACUUAUACGUGAACCAUCGAAUUGUUGAACGCAUCGCAUCGAGCUUUGCCCAAGCACGAUAUGUCCCAUUGAGCGUCAUUAUGUCUUUGGAUUUUAUUCCAAGUUCGGGAUUUAUGGCCCUCAGCCAUGCUUCCUUGGAUGUAUCAGUGCCAGAUGGAGUGGUACUCCCCUUGUCGUAAACUUCAAGGUGUCCACAUCAGCUCUGGCCUGUCGACCGAUCCUAGUCGGUCAACAUGAGGGUGCCUUCAAUGGUUACCUCUCUCAAACAUGAUCUCAAGGGGGCAAGACAACCCGCUAGACUUAAGCAUAUUAAUCAGCGGAGGAAAAGAAACUAACAAGGAUUCCCCCAGUAACUGCGAGUGAAGAGGGAUCAGCUCAACGUGUGAAUCUGAUAAGGUUUAAUGCCUUGUCCGACUUGUGCACUAUUGACACUGGCUCAGCGUAUGAAUACUAAAGGCGGAUGUCCGAUGAAACACGGCACCAUAGCGGGUCACAGUCCUAUACAUGCCUAUUGGUGUUUACGCAUAUGACCAGUGCUCAUCGAGUCGUGUAGUUUUGUAUUGCUGCACUAAUUGGGAGGUAGAGCCCUUCUAAAGCUAAAUAUUAUGGCAUGACCGAUAGCAAACAAGUACCGUGAGGGAAAGGUGAAAAGCAACCAUGCAGAAUGGGUUGAAAGAGUAGUGAAAGUGCUACCGGGAUAAGGGCUAGUGAUUGCAAGUGCAGAUCGUGUGUGCUUUAGUGCUACACUAACUGCCGUCAUGCAUCGAUUGGGUUGGGGAGAACAGGUCGGUGGAGAUUCAGCUCGAUCCAGAGUGUUGUAACCCACCAGGCAAUGGAGUCCCAUCCGAUCGGAUACAAGGUGCAUUGGUUGCGGUCAUUAGCCGCCCGUCUUGAAACACGG
rnacentral:rRNA from 1 species